CAGCCGCCGCGGGAAUACGGAGGGUGCAAGCGUUAAUCGGAAUUACUGGGCGUAAAGCGCACGCAGGCGGUCUGUCAAGUCAGAUGUGAAAUCCCCGGGCUUAACCUGGGAACUGCAUUUGAAACUGGCAGGCUAGAGUCUUGUAGAGGGGGGUAGAAUUCCAGGUGUAGCGGUGAAAUGCGUAGAGAUCUGGAGGAAUACCGGUGGCGAAGGCGGCCCCCUGGACAAAGACUGACGCUCAGGUGCGAAAGCGUGGGGAGCAAACAGGAUUAGAUACCCGUGUAGUCUUUGUCUCUUAUAC
rnacentral:rRNA from 1 species